ACUUCGAUCUGCUGCGGACAGAUAAAGUGAAUGUGCGUAUCAAUGCCGCCAGCGGUGAGAAUCAUCCCUUCACCCGCGAUCGCUUCGGUUCCGGGUCCGAUGAUGAUGGUUACAUUGUCUUGAAUAUAGGGAUUUCCGGCUUUCCCGAUCGCGCAAAUCUUGCCAUUUUUAAUUCCCACAUCCGCUUUUACAAUCCCCCACCAAUCGAGAAUCAGCGCAUUGGUAAUUACCGCAUCGACUGCGCCAUCUUCAUUGGUAAUCGGAGAUUGUCCCAUACCAUCACGAAU
rnacentral:sRNA from 1 species